UACAUUGAAAAUCUUAAGAUUUGUUUAGAUUAUACUAGGUAUCCAAAUUAAUUGAAAUGAAACAAGGAAUCUAACUAAUUAAAAUUUAUGUCAGUGUUUUCAUUUUGUAUAUUAAAAAUAUGUUAAUUAGAAUUCUAUCAUUUUAUUUAUAAUUAAUAUAACAAGAUAUAUCAUUGAAAAUAGGUCCUAUUUAUAAAUUAUAUAAGCUAUUUAUUUUUUGGUUAUUGGACACCUCAAACAACAGCACCAGAUAAUAGGCAUUAAAAGUCAUUUCAUAAGUACAACAAAUUGUAAAUGAUAUGCUUUUGAUAUAAUGUUACAUCCUCAUAAAUGAAUUAGUCUAUUCUUUUGAUGAUUGGCAAUGAUUAAUUAUCCUGCUUUUACAGUCACUUGAUAUACUGCUGUUCAAUGUAUACACAUGUGUUAACACACGUACAGAGAUACAGCUUAUCUGAUCAAGAUAAGGACCAAUGAAAAUACAGGCUUCUGAACCGUUUUACACCUGUACACCAAAAAAUAAUCCCCAUCUUUCUGCUUGUUUUCUUUUCUCUGAGAUCUUUGCAAAUGCUGUGAGCAAAAUAAAUGGUCAAAUUUUCCCAUGAACUGUAUACUUAUAUAUUUUAAGAACACAGAUAUUCCCUUCAGUAACUAUAUAUUGUACCAAAGAAAAUGGCUCAUGAAUACAAAAAUUUGAAUGUAAACAGGAAGUUCAUUGUUCAUGUUGUUGGAGGCAAAUGGAAUAAAGCUAACUUGAAACUCUAAAAUGCUUUUAGAGAGAUAUCAGGUGAAAGAGUGUGCAUAUAUCUAGUUACUAGAGGUAUAUGCCUAUAUGUAUGAAUUGAUGUAGUUGGAGAAAUCAGAUCGCUUCAGUGCAUGACUAUGCUACAGGAUGAUACAAGAUCACAGACAGAAAUUCGAUCAAGGAUCAAACAUAAAUUACAUAAUACUUCAACUAAAUUAAAUGCAUGGCUGGAAUGAAGUUCCUGACCCUGGUGGUGAUUUUGGAAAAGCAAAGAGACAUUCUGAUGCCACCUUGUAUUGAGCCUGCAAUACUCCAAAAUGAUUUUGUUGUAUUCAUAAUUUUCUAUCAAAUAAUCUUUUAGUUUAAUUUUCAAAUUUAAGCUAAGUGAAUUUUUAUUAUUCUUAACCACAAGUGUAAAAGUCGCUGGCAGAUGUGUUAUUCCCCUUUGAAUUUUAUUCUUUUUGUUUUUUAUGAAACCCAGAUCUGUCUCAACAUUAGAUUAAAAUAAUUUUGUAAUGAUACUAUUUCUUCUUUUUUUGUUUUGUGUCAAUAUCAGCAAUGUUUUCCAAUGGUUUUUCAUCAAACCUUUCUAAACUUUUGCAAAGAAUUCUUCUAAAAAAUUCCUUCAACUUCAAUGCGAUGAUUUCCAAUGUUCAAAGAGUUCCAUGGACUUUCAACUGCAUUUUCACAGGGCUGCUCCCAUGGGUAUGUGAGUUUAAAUUUAAAUUAAUUUUCAGACUUUUUUUUUUCAUGCCGUUUUUCCAAACUUUUCCAUGGAACAUGUACAGACGGGUGUUUUUGUGACAUAAACACUUUCUAGUUUUAGUUUAUGUUUGGGAUCAUGCAAGAUAUCUGGACAGUUUUUUUUAAUUCAAAAUCAAGAAUUUAUUUAAUUCGGCAAAACAAACAUUUUGGUUAUCUUACAGUAUUUGUUCAUUGCUGUGAAAUUGAUAAUUGCAUGCAUUUAAAUAACUUUUUACAUUAUUCUUUUGAUCAUAAAUAUAUGUAUAAAAAUGUAUAUAUUGAUUUGUCAAUAGUGUUUGAUUAAUGUGUUCUUACGAAAACUUAAAUAAAAGGCAAUUGAUGACAUACCUUUUAUUUAUGUUUUGAUAAAAGGUCUCUCUGCCUUUUAUUCAUAUUUUGUUUCCUAUAUUUUAUUUGCAAUUUGUUUCUCAUAUGUAAUGAAUGUGAAUGCCUUUUGUUAGUAUUUUGUUACUACCUUUUAUUCAUGUUUUGUUUCUUUGAAACAAAAUAUUAAUAAAAGGUCUCUCUGCCUUUUAUUCAUAUUUUGUUUCCUAUAUUUUAUUUGCAAUUUGUUUCUCAUGUAAUGAAUGUGAAUGCCUUUUGUUAGUAUUUUGUUACUACCUUUUAUUCAUCUUUUAUUUGCCUUUUGUUAUCUCAUUUGCAUAUCAUUUGCUAGGCUAAUAAAAGGUCUUCAAAACAUAACAUUUUAUUUGCCUUUUGUUUCAGCCUUUUGUUACCC